rnacentral:rRNA from 1 species
UACGAAGGGGGCUAGCGUUGCUCGGAAUCACUGGGCGUAAAGGGUGCGUAGGCGGGUCUUUAAGUCAGGGGUGAAAUCCUGGAGCUCAACUCCAGAACUGCCUUUGAUACUGAGGAUCUUGAGUUCGGGAGAGGUGAGUGGAACCGCGAGUGUAGAGGUGAAAUUCGUAGAUAUUCGCAAGAACACCAGUGGCGAAGGCGGCUCACUGGCCCGAUACUGACGCUGAUGCACGAAAGCGUGGGGAGCAAACAGG